UAGUUUGAUCCUGGCUCAGAACGAACGCUGGCGGCAUGCCUAACACAUGCAAGUCGAACGAGACCUUCGGGUCUAGUGGCGCACGGGUGCGUAACGCGUGGGAAUCUGCCCUGGGGUGCGGAAUAACUCGGAGAAAUCCGUGCUAAUACCGCAUAAUGUCUUCGGACCAAAGAUUUAUCGCCCUGGGAUGAGCCCGCGUAGGAUUAGCUAGUUGGUGGGGUAAAGGCCUACCAAGGCGACGAUCCUUAGCUGGUCUGAGAGGAUGAUCAGCCACACUGGGACUGAGACACGGCCCAGACUCCUACGGGAGGCAGCAGUGGGGAAUAUUGGACAAUGGGCGAAAGCCUGAUCCAGCAAUGCCGCGUGAGUGAUGAAGGCCCUAGGGUUGUAAAGCUCUUUUACCCGGGAUGAUAAUGACAGUACCGGGAGAAUAAGCUCCGGCUAACUCCGUG
rnacentral:rRNA from 1 species